AAUAUCCUUUAAUUUCAUACUUUCUGACUCCUGACUCCUGACUGACAACAACUAUGUCCAUUUGACUUUGUUCUUGGAGUUUUAAACAUCUUUGCUUCUAAGAAUUGAGCCUUGACAAAAAUUGGUUAAGUUAUGGAAGAAAAAAAUGAAGUUGUAACUAAAGUGGAAGGCCUAAGUCCUCUGCCUUCAGUAAACUCUUCAACCAUUGCAGUAGCUAUCAAUGGUAAGAAAAAGAGCAAAUGUGUAGUCAGGUGGGCUUUGGACAAAUUUGUUCCUGAAGGAAAAGUUUGCUUCAAGCUGUUACAUGUCCGUCCGCCCAUAAUUGGUGUGCCAACCCCAAUGGGAAGCUUUAUACCUAUUUCACAAGUGCGGGAUGAUGUAGUGACUGCUUUCCGAAAGGAUGUGGAGUGGCAAACAAGUGAAAAUCUGCUUCCUUACAAGAUGUUAUGUAUUAAUCGAAAGGUCCAAGUAGAAGUUUUACAACUUGAAUCAGAUGAUAUCGUGAACGCAAUUGCACAGGAGGUCACCAAGCUUAAUAUCAUCAAGCUUGUGAUAGGUGCUUCAUCUCGUAGCAUAUUUUCUAGGGGACAAAGCUUAUCCUCAAGAAUCUCGGAUAGUACUCCAAGCUUUUGUACCAUCUAUGCUGUUUCAAAAGGAAAAUUGUUAUCUAUACGUCCUUCUGAUUCAGAGAUAAAUGGAAGCAGUUCGGCUGGAGAUAGUUACACGAGCUGCUCAAUCACCAGUUCAACAGUUCAAACUUCAAGUUCACUAACAGAAAGGUCAGAACCAGACUCAAGUUCUUCAUACAGUCACUUCGGUUCUCCUUCACUGCCAAUGCAAAGAUUUCAAGCUCUUUCACAUAUUAAUCAGAACUUUCCUCAUAGAAGAGCAAGUUCAAAUGUAUCAGUCCACCAUAAAAACUAUUCUCUUGAUUUUGGUGAUGGUGAGGAUACUGUCAGGUCUUGUUCCCAAGGAACAUAUCUCAUUGAUGGAGAUGACCUUGCUUCUAGUUUUAGGAGCUUGGUAACAGACAACUACACAACGGCAGAUGAUCAAGCUUCAAUUUCAGGGGCUCUGACAGAUUCAUCAUCGAGAUAUGAGGUGGACAUCAAUUUUGAGCUAGAGAAGCUAAGAACUGAAUUAAGACAUACUCGAGGAAUGUAUGCAGUUGCACAGACUGAAGUAAUUGACGCUUCUAGGAAGAUAAAUGAGCUGCACAAGCGCCGGUUGGAGGAAGGUGUUAAACUUCGGGAAAUUUGUUUGAAGGAAGAGGAAGUAAAAGAGUUAGCACAAAAAGAGAAUGAGAAAUACGAAGCUGUAAAAAGAGAAGCUGAUUAUGUGAAGAACUGUGCUGAAAGAGAGGCUGCACAAAGAAAAGAAGCAGAACUACUAGCCUUACGUGAGUCAAAAGAAAAAGACAAGCUUGAGAAUGCCUUGAUGGGUCAGGCACAUCAGUACCAAGAAUUCACUUGGGAAGAAAUCAUAUCUUCCACCUCUUCUUUCGAUGAAAAUCUUAAAAUUGGUAUGGGGGCAUACGGAACUGUUUAUAAGUGCAGCUUGCAUCAUACUACAGUUGCUGUCAAAGUUCUUCACUCUGAGGGAUCUCAUCUGACGAAGCAGUAUCAGCAAGAGCUGGAAAUAUUGAGCAAAAUUAGUCAUCCACAUUUGCUAAUCCUUCUUGGUGUGUGCCCCGAUCGUAGUUGCUUAGUGUAUGAGUUCAUGGAGAAUGGUAGCUUGGAGGAGAGGCUGCUCAGGAAACAUGAUACACCUCCUAUUCCAUGGUUUGAUAGAUAUCGAAUUGCAUGGGAAGUGGCUUCCGCCCUUGCCUUUCUUCACAACUCCAAAUCAGAUCCAAUUAUUCAUCGUGAUCUAAAGCCUGCAAACAUAUUGCUUGAUCGUAAUUUUGUCAGUAAAAUUGGUGAUGUUGGCCUCUCAACGAUGAUAAACUCGGAUGCUGCGUUAUCCACCAUCUACAAAGAUUCAGGUCCUGUGGGAACACUUUGCUACAUAGACCCUGAGUACCAAAGGACCGGAUUGAUCUCUCCAACAUCUGACAUUUAUGCAUUUGGGAUGGUUCUCCUGCAGUUGCUAACAGCAAAAGCAGCUAUGGGACUUCCCCACAUUGUUGAAACGGUAAUCGAUAAGGAUAAUCUAACUAAGGUACUAGAUCCAGAGGCUGGUAAAUGGCCAUUAGAAGAGACAAAGGAACUAGCUAUGCUAGCACUUAAAUGCACAGAGCUUUGUCGAAGAGACAGGCCCAAUUUGAAAGAUGAAAUUCUCCCUACAUUGGAGAAAUUGAAAGAAGUUGCUGAUAAGACUCGAGAUUCUGCCUCGAAUACCCAAUCUCCUCCUAACUACUAUUUGUGCCCUUUACUCAAGGAUAUAAUGGAGGACCCUUGUGUGGCAGCUGAUGGGUAUACUUACGACAGGCAUGCAAUAGAAACAUGGCUAAAAGAGAAGGAUAUAUCACCAAUGACAAGCCUACCAUUAGCUCAUAAGAACCUUCUACCAAAUUACACACUGCUUUCUGCGAUUCUGGACUGGAAAUCAAGAUAGGCUGGAAACAUUUAGAUUGUUUGGGUAGAUAAUUUUUUAGACUUAUAGUCUAGUUGAACAUAGCAUACCAAAUUUAUAUACCUUCACACAAUGAACCAGACGAUAGAUUUGGAUGUUUCUCUGUAGGUGUAAAAUAUUUUGCUGUAGGACCUAAUUUUCCUGGGAUUGUAGUUCAAUCGGUCACAGCACCAUCCUAUCAAGGCAGACGUUGCGGGUCAAUAAAUAUAGCAUUCAUCUCUUCAUUUUCUAUGAAAAGGGGGACAGGGAGCAUAACUUCAUUCCGAACAGGUGAUCUGCUUUAGCUUCAUUGACAGAAGCUCCCGCCUAAAGUUCAGACCGUUACUUCAAGCUCAUUUGAACACAGGGGGAUCCAACUUAAGUUAUUAGCGUUGAACUAAUUGUAAUUUUAUAUGGGUUUAGAUAUAAGAUUUAUAGAAAUUUUAAUAGGCUUUCACAUGUAUAUCUAUGCUUUGUGUUGAAAAUGCAUUUGCUUGUAGUCAGAGUUGUAUUUGUUACUGCAUGUGAACCACCUAUCUUUCUUGUUCCUUUCUAAGCGAUUGGGAAUAAGAAAGUGUGAAAAAUAAAGAUGAUUUUUGGCGGAAUGACCUCGAAAAUUUCUGUAUUUGACUCCAUUUGUCACCUAAGCCCUCCUACUCAUGAUUGGGAACAUCAUGAUGUGGCAAUUUAUAUCUGAUGUGGAUAGUGAUGUGUUAUCCACAUCAGCGCGAUUGAGAGACACACAUGAUCAGAGAGGUUUAAAAUAAUGUAUUUUAAUAACUUUAAGUAUUCACUUGGCAAAAUCAUGUGAAAUCCAAGUACAAGUGAC